AUGGAUCCCUUCUUCUUCCUCCUCCUAUUCAGCCAAAUCCUACUCUGCACAGCCGGUGACACCAUCAACUCCACCACACCCUUGUCCGGGUCACAGAAGAUCGUGUCCCAGGGCAACAAGUUCGCCGUGGGCUUCUACUCCCCAUCGCAGAGUAACACCACCUCUUCCACCUCCAGCAAUUACUACAUAGCCAUAUGGUACAGCAACAUACCACUGCUCACCACCGUGUGGAACACCGACGUGCCGGUGUCCGACCCGGCCACCGCCUCCUUGGAAAUCGCCCGUGACGGCAACCUUGUCCUCCUUGAUCAAGCCAAGAACCGGCUACUGUGGUCGACCAAUGUAAGUAUAGCCUCCAACUCCACCAUUGCUACCAUCAAGGACAGCGGUAGCCUCGAGCUCACCGAUGCCUCCAAUGCAUCGAUAGUUUAUUGGCAAAGCAUAGACCAUCCCACAAACACCUGGCUUCCGGGGGGCAAGCUCGGGCUGAACAAGACCACGGGUCUGAGCCAGAGGCUUAUUCCUUGGAAGAACAGCGCAGACCCAUCUCCUGGGUUGUCCUCUCUUGAGCUAGACCCCAACGGCACAACACAGUACUUCAUCCAGUGGAAUGAAUCCAUAAACUACUGGACCAGUGGCCCCUGGAACGGCAAUAUUUUCAGCCUCGUGCCAGAGAUGACGGCCAAUUUCAGAUACGACUUCCAAUUCGUCGACAACGCCACAGAAAGCUAUUUCUACUACUCGAUGAAGGAUGAUGCAGUCAUCUCGCGGUUCAUCAUGGACGUGACCGGACAGAUCAAGCAGCUGACAUGGGUGGAAUACUCACAGCAGUGGAUCUUGUUCUGGUCACAGCCGCGGAGGCAGUGUGAGGUGUAUGCACUCUGUGGGGCAUAUGGUAGCUGCAGUGAGGCUGCGCUGCCGUACUGCAACUGCGUCAAGGGGUUCAGCCAGAAGGUCCAGAGUGAUUGGGAUCUUCAGGAUUACAGUGGUGGGUGCAGGAGGAACGUACCAUUGCAGUGCCAGAUCAACUCGAGCUCCGCACAGACCAAGCCUGAUAAGUUCUAUACCAUGGCAGGCGUGAGGCUACCUGACAAUGCUCGGGGUGCAGUGGGCGCCAGCUUGAAAGAAUGUGAGCAGGUUUGUCUGAAAAGCUGUUCAUGCGAUGCUUACACUUACAAUACAACUGGCUGUUUUAUUUGGUCUGGGGACCUGGUAAACCUCCAAGAACAGUACAGUGGAAAUGGAGUUGGCACACUCUUCCUCAGGCUUGCAGCAUCCGAGCUGCAAGACCCAAAAAAGAACAAGGCAGUGAUCAUUGGUGCAGUUGUUGGUGGAGUUGCUGCAAUUCUGAUAAUCCUUGCCGUUGUGUUUUUCUUCCUAUAUCAGAAAUAUCGCCGAGAUAGGACUCUUCGGAUAUCAAAGACUGCUGGGGGCACGUUGAUUGCCUUCAGGUACAGUGAUUUGCAGCAUGUCACCAGCAACUUCUCAGAGAAGCUGGGGGGAGGUGCCUUCGGCUCGGUGUUCAAGGGGAAGCUCCCAGAUUCAACUGCUAUUGCUGUGAAAAGGCUCGAUGGGUUUCAUCAAGGGGAGAAGCAAUUCCGUGCUGAGGUAAGCACUAUUGGGACAACCCAGCAUGUUAAUUUGGUCCGCCUUCUUGGGUUCUGUUCUGAAGGGUCAAGGAGGCUGCUUGUGUAUGAGUACAUGCAAAAGGGCUCCCUGGAAGUGCAACUCUUCCCUGGUGAGACAACUGCAUUGAGCUGGGCCAUUAGGUACCAAAUUGCACUUGGAACAGCAAGGGGCCUAAACUACCUGCAUGAAAAAUGUAGGGAUUGCAUCAUACACUGUGAUGUCAAGCCAGAUAACAUUCUCUUGGAUGAUUCCUUUGUACCAAAAGUAUCCGACUUUGGCCUAGCAAAGCUCUUAGGCCGGGACUUCAGCCGUGUUUUAACGACAAUGAGAGGAACAAGGGGUUACCUUGCACCUGAAUGGAUCAGUGGCGUGCCCAUAACCGCGAAGGCAGAUGUAUUCAGCUAUGGCAUGAUGCUCCUUGAAAUCAUAUCAGGCAGGAGGAAUGCUGAUCAUGGAGAGGAGGGCAGGUCCACUUUCUUCCCAACCUUGGCUGCAAGCAAGCUCCAUGAAGGGGAUGUGCAGACCUUGUUGGACCCUAGGCUGAAAGGAGAUGCAAAUCCUGACGAGCUCACAAGAGCUUGUAAGGUUGCUUGUUGGUGCAUCCAAGAUGAUGAAAGCACUAGACCCACGAUGGGUCAGAUCGUCCAAAUCCUAGAGGGGUUUCUGGAUGUGAAUAUGCCCCCCGUUCCCAGGUCACUGAGAGCUCUUGGUGAAAGCCCUGAUGUCAUAAACUUCUUCUCAGAUCUGUCUUCAAGCCAAACUUCCCAGACGGAGAACAGCACAACUUCUCAAACACACAGUGCUACUUCAGGCAAUUCACAUUUCCAAAGUUCGUAA
rnacentral:rRNA from 1 species